GUGUCAGCAGCCGCGGUAACACGUAGGGGGCAAGCGUUGUCCGGAUUUAUUGGGCGUAAAGAGCUCGUAGGCGGCUCGGUAAGUCGGGUGUGAAAACUCGGGGCUCAACCCCGAGACGCCACUCGAUACUGCUGUGGCUUGAGUCCGGUAGGGGAGUGUGGAAUUCCUGGUGUAGCGGUGAAAUGCGCAGAUAUCAGGAGGAACACCGAUGGCGAAGGCAGCACUCUGGGCCGGUACUGACGCUGAGGAGCGAAAGCGUGGGGAGCAAACAGGAUUAGAAACCCGCGUAGUCC
rnacentral:rRNA from 1 species